ensembl:lncRNA
GCCACAUUCUAGAGCCAGCUGGCUAUCCUACUCACGUGACCAGAGGUGCUCAAUGCAGUGACCUGUUCUCAUAUUGUGGCCUGACAUUCUGGGGCCCCAGCUUCUGGAAAGCUGAGAGUGGGGGCCAUUUCAGACACAAGGGAAUUACCUUCAUCCCCAGGGUCUCCCUGAGGGAGUUCCUGCCCCACCCUCACUGCCCCAGGAUGCCUUCUUGAAGCCCCCAGGAGAAUUCACAAUGAACACAAAAACUUUAAAGAUGAGAUGAGUACUACUGAUUUUUGCUUUUGCUUCAUGCUCAGAGGUGGCUGGGCAGUGGUGCUGUGCCCAAAUAAGACCCACUUCACCUACUGCAACCCUUCCCUCCUGCUGGUGUUUGGUCAGGGAUGAGGUGGGGACAGGGUCUUGGAGCCCAGGGACUGUUUACUGAGCAUAUGUGACUCUGUGAGGUGGGUAUUUUGCCUCAUUUCCAAAUGACAAGGUACCCAUCAGAAGGUUAAGUCACUGGUCUACAGUCACAGAACUGGCAGAGGGUGGGUUUGAGGUGUGUGGUUGUCCUGUCACCUGGCAGCACCCUGAACUGGAGGGUGGGAGAGGAGGAGGGGAGUCGCGGUGUAACCUGCAUCCUCAUCACUCAGCCCACUUUCCUGAUGCUGGUCAUGCUCCAGGUCCACUCUGGACACUGACAUCACAGACGAAUGAGUGUCCCUGCAUUUGAAGAAC